UUGGAGGGCAAGUCUGGUGCCAGCAGCCGCGGUAAUUCCAGCUCCAAUAGCGUAUAUUAAAGUUGUUGCAGUUAAAAAGCUCGUAGUUGAAUUUCGGGGUUCUACCGUUGGUCGGGCUUCGUCUGUACUGGUGUGUAGAAUUUCUACCUUCUGGGGAACCAUCAUGCUAUUAAUUUAGCGUGGUGGGAAACCAGGACCUUUACCUUGAAAAAAUUAGUGUGUUCAAAGCAGGCUUAUGUCUGAAUACAUUAGCGUGGAAUAAUAGAAUAGGACGGUGGUCCUGUUUUGUUGGUUUCUGAAUCACCGUAAUGAUUAAUAGGGAUAGUUGGGGGCAUUAGUAUUCAAUUGUCAGAGGUGAAAUUCUUGGAUUUAUUGAAGACUAACUUCUGCGAAAGCAUUUGCCAAGGAUGUUUUCAUUAAUCAAGAACGAAAGUUAGGGGAUCGAAGACGAUCAGAUACCGUCGUAGUCUUAACCAUAAACUAUGUCGACUAGGGAUCGGACGAUGUUAAUUUUUCUUGACUCGUUCGGCGCCUUACGGGAAAC
rnacentral:rRNA from 1 species